UCACUUUACUAUUUGCUUAAUUUACCAUUUGUCCCAUUCGACAUUACAAACCCUAGGUUUCUCUCUUCAGCCUCCCCAAUCGCCUCCAUCUCUAUUCUCGUUCUCAUCUCUGAAGUUUCCCUCUCUCUUUCUCUGUAACUGCAACUACAAAAUCUACUUUCCUUGGCCCCCAGAUAACUAAAACCAAACACAUCACAAUGCCCAUCUUUACCACUUUUGCCUCCUCCUCCUCGCCUCUGCUCCUCAUCGUCGCCUCUCGCUCAUCCCUUUCUCUCUCUAAACCCUCAUUCUCUCUCUCUAGAUUUCUCAUCAAACCCACAUCUUUCCCCCAUACCUCCAGACCUUUCUCUCUCUACUUGCACCCAAAAAUGAACUGGUUGGGAAAGCUAGGGUUCAGUACUCGAAAUCCCGGUGUGACCACCGUGGACCAGUCAUCAUCUUCCUCGAUUGCGUAGGGUUCGGACGACGACGUCACGGCACCGGGUCAAGAGUUCACCCAGAGAGUGCCCGAAGUGUCCAAGACGUAGGUUGGGUACAGUCAGGGCUAUAUUCACAAUCCAAGCUACAACGACGUGUGUUCAGGGACGAUGAACCACUCCAAAGUCGUCCGGGUUCAGUACGAUCCCAAGGAGUGCGGUUACGAGUCUUUGCUCGACGCGUUUUGGGCCAGCCAUGACCCUACUACGCCUAAUCGUCAGGUGAGUCUAUGGAAUUAUUGGGCUUUUCAUGGUUGAGUUUAUGGGUAGUCAUUUUAUGUGCAUUUUUUUGCUGAAUUUUGACGGGUUUUGGUGUCAAUUAUUUGACGAAUGUGUCUUUCUCUGGGUUAUGGGUUCCUAACUUUUAUAUUUAUCCAUUGCACUUUUAACUAGAUGAUUGAAAUUUAAUUGUAUUUUAUUGAUAAUUAUUGGGUUUAUUAGGGUUUGGGACUUUGAGUUGUCAUUUUGGGCUUUUGUUACUGAAUUUUGAUGGAAUUUUGUUGGAUUUGUCUAAGGAUGAAUCAGUUUUUGCCUAUGCUUCUUUAUUCUCCUAAAGGUAGGAAGCUUAUACAUAUGUGGGUGAUAGGGGUUACUUAAUUAUUUUGUUGAUCUAUUGAUUUUUUAGCUAGACGAUUGAAAUUCGGUUGCAUCUUUUUUAUUAUUAUUGGUUUGAAAAAAAUUAUAUUUUAAUGUAUUUUGGUUAAUUUUUAUCUUUGAAAUGAAGCAAUUUUGUAGUUAACUUAUAUACACGGAUUUCUCUAUACUUUCAAACCUCCCAUUUGGUUCUUAAAUUUGGACUUUUAAGGUCUGUUAAUUGGAUAUAGGUAUGAUGCUUUGUAACAUUCAUCAAUUUUUUUUUAUUCUUUCAUUUUGUGGCUUCUUAUGUUGGCAUACCAAUCGUGCAAUUCUGUUUCUUUGAGGACUGGGUUUUCUGAUGUUGGCCGGUGGGGUUGAUUGUGGGAUUUAUUUUCCUUUUCUAAUGUAAACCAAUCUUUGAUUAUGCUUUUCACUUAUUUAUCAUUUGCCCUUGCAAAUCUUGCCAAUUGUUACCUCCUAGUGAAUUAUGUUAAGUUCAACCUUUUGGGAUCUUGGAUUAUUCUGUAUAAGAGGAACUUGUACGGAUCAGGUAGUAGGAGUAGUUGUUCCCUUCUAGGACCUACGAAAUGUUGUGAUUCUAUAUAUAUAUAUAUAUGUACACACUCAUAAAACUUUAUGGAUUCAACUGCUCAAUUAAUUUAAAAUAGUAGUUUUUUUCUGUUUUUGUGUGGCAUGGAAUAUUUCAAUCAUGAUGGGAACUUUUAAUCGUGAGCAACUUCUUGGCUAAAAAAGAAGUGUCAUACAGGCAUGCUUUUGAGGAAAUGUUACUCUCUUAUAAUGGUACUUAACCCAAAAAUAAGUUAAUUCAGCCAAAUAAGAGCUUAAAAGAAGCAAUCUCAAGCUGAAUGGAAGAAAGGAGCAAAGUGGAAACAAAAUGAAAUAAAGUGUGGAAAUCAGCAAGUUUGAUCGAUCUCAACAUUCCUUCGAUCGAUCAGAGAAACAUUGAUCUGGGCACUUCAAGAUGGAUCCAAGCAAUUGGCCUUAUUCAAAAGAUCUCAGCAUGUUCAAUCGAUCUAAACAUUCUUCGAUCGAUCAAAAAUAUUCGAUUUUAUCCACACCUUCCACCCUACCUACCACUCUUGUGUCUUUCCUAAAAUAUUCCAAAAUAUCUUAGAGAUUUGUCUUUAUUCAAAAAGGUGCCGCCAAGGAUGAUCGAUCUCUGCAGCAUUCGAUGGAUCUCACCAAUGUUCGAUCGAUCUCAACAUAGUUCGAUCAAUCGAACCUCCUCCAGUUCGAAUUAAAUCAAAUUCCAGCUCAUUAAAAGUCGUCUCAUGGUGCAAUCAUUGCAAGGACCAUAGUGCACGAGUCCAGACCAUUGGGUGUGACACUUGAGCCUCUUAUAUAAGGAUUUUGAACUAUUUUUACAUAGAGUUUGGAAGAUCUUCAAUACACAUAUACUUAAGAGAUGUACUUAGAAACAUUCUUGGAGAGAAAGAAAGGAGAGGAGGAGAGGCUAGAGACACAUUUUUGGGAGUUCUUUCAUUCUUCUAGGGUUUCCAUCAAGAAAAAGGUCAUUCUUACCAUGGAGAUAGCCCUUGAGGGUUGGAUGACUACUUCAAUGAGUGGUUAAACAUCUUCUUGGGGCUAGAGUUAGCCCUAAGCAUGUCUUAUAGACUCUAAUGCUUUGUAUUUUGAGAGGAUUUGUGUUGUAAUCUUGUUUUGAAACUUAUUUUAUAUAUGAAUCUUGUUUAUUCAA